GCUACUUUAGCUCAGUAGGUAGAGCAGCUGAUUCGUAAUCAGAAGGUCACCAGUUCGAUUCUGGUAUGUAGCA
rnacentral:tRNA from 1 species